CGCCGCCGCCGCCACCGUCGCCGCCGCCACCGCCCGCCCCGCUCCCUCGCCUCGCCUCCUCCUCCUCCGCCCGCCGCCCGCAGCCGCCUGGGCCCAACGCAGCGCCCCCUGCCGGUUCCCUUUGGGAGGCUCCAACUGGAUUCCUUCUGGACAGAUUUCGGUUGGGAAAAGAAGGUUAAGCCCCUGGAUUUUCGGGGUGUACAGGCCUAGGGAGCGUUUUGCGUAGUCGCGUUGGUUGCCGGUUGGAGACGGUCCUUCUGGUCGAUUCUGUUCUAGUUGAAUUUCAGAAGUCGUCUGACCAAAUGGUGGCAUUCUUCCCCAGGGUUUGAAAUUUUGCAGUCCCUUCUACGAAUCCGUCUUUGGGGUACAAGGCCUUUGGAAUGAUAUAGUGUCCUUUUGGGCUGAAGUUGGAGCUAGCUGUUAAGCUUUAUUUUCCUCCUCUUGAAGCCAAGAUGAUUGUGUUUGCUCUCUUUCUAUCCUCUGGACCUCUAAAACAUCCUCAAGCUCGCCAAUGUCCUUAUUGAGUAUGAUGUAUUUCUGCACCAAACUGUGUGAGUUUUAUUUAUUUCAGGUAAAAGCAAAGAUCUUUUGAGAAUCCUCUUGGAUUGGUAUUGAGAAAAACGCUGAGCAUAAAUCUACCACGGUGAAAUAUCUUGUCUGACUUGGCAUGGAAGAAAAUUAUAACAGCUGAACUUGUUUCAGGUGCUGGAGGUGAUCCUGACCAGACAGAGUUUGAGCCAUGAUAGCACUGGAACCAGGAUUGCAAAGAGGGUAGUGGACAAUCCGAUGUAACACAAGCUACAGUGACCCUCCCUGCCUAAAAGACCAGAAAUGUUACAUUUCAUUCUUCUCCCCUUGCCUCCACUCAUUCCUCAGUCUGGGGAGGUGAAAGAGAUUAGGUUCCUUACCUGCGUUGACUACCCCUUCUCUGCCUGCAUUCAUCUGUUCUAGGGUGCAAGUAAUACUUGGCAUCUAUUUCUGCUACUUGCCCAAGGUUAAUCCCAGUUCUAGAAAGUUCCAUGAAGUAUACUUCCAGGAAAAUCCCAUCCCCAGUGUCCACAGACGUCUCUGUCUUCCUAUGCUGACUUAUACUGGAAAAAAAUGCAUGAGUUAUUCUGCCACCCCCCAAAAUUUCUCAAUCAAAACUCCAUCUGGUAUGUUUUACAGAUUUUUUAAUGGAGUAAUGGUUGGGGAAGGUUUUUUCUUAUACCAUUUUGGCUGGUUCCUCCUCCUAAUUUUAACCAGAUUAAAUUUGUUGGUGCAAAAACUUUUCCAUUUCACAUAAUAAAAAAUGUCCAAUUUA